AUUGAACGCUGGCGGCAUGCCUUACACAUGCAAGUCGAACGGCAGCACGGGAGCUUGCUCCUGGUGGCGAGUGGCGAACGGGUGAGUAAUACAUCGGAACGUACCCUGAAGUGGGGGAUAACGUAGCGAAAGUUACGCUAAUACCGCAUAUUCUGUGAGCAGGAAAGAGGGGGAUCGCAAGACCUCUUGCUUUAGGAGCGGCCGAUGUCGGAUUAGCUAGUUGGUGAGGUAAAGGCUCACCAAGGCGACGAUCCGUAGCGGGUCUGAGAGGAUGAUCCGCCACACUGGGACUGAGACACGGCCCAGACUCCUACGGGAGGCAGCAGUGGGAAUUUUGGACAAUGGGACGCAAGCCUGAUCCAGCCAUGCCGCGUGAGUGAAGAAGGCC
rnacentral:rRNA from 1 species